rnacentral:misc_RNA from 1 species
AUACUCACAUACAUACACACCCACAAAUACACACACAAAUACACUCACACAUACACACCCACAAAUACACUCACACAUACACACACACACGUCCCCUCACCCACACGCACUCGCACCACCCCAUCCCCCAGUAAAUUCGACACUCUGCAUCCAUUCAGCCAAAGACAAAGACCGCUUCAAGUCCAGCAUUCACCAAACACCUGGAUUACCGGAAUCAAUACCCAGCAACAAGUGAGAGAGAGAGGACACCAUCAUCACUGCACACACAAUAUCCUAAACCGAGAUAGACAUAGCCAGCCACCACCAUCAUCAUCAUCAUCGUUAUGAACAAUACUGGAAAGAUGCGAAUUCUCUACGUUUGUGAGUUUGACACUUGAAACCAGAACUGAAUCCAUUCCUUGGUCUUCAACCUUCGACACUUUACUCUGAACACCACGCUGCGUUGAUGCCAUUGCUCGCUUAUAUUUCGUAAACCUCUCCACCAGUUCACACACCAUCCACCCAUCUAAAUAUCUCGAGCUACCAUCUAGUUUCAGAAAACCUCUUGCCCGGAAAUUCACCGUUUAUUAAUCCGCCAUGGAUCUGGAAAAUAUGACAUUUCGUUCAACGGGCUCUGAUGUCGAUGCGAGACAUGUCCUCGUCGAAGGCGUCUUACCGCCUGCCUGCAUCUGUGGAAUCGUCGGCAUUAUAAUCACAUUGAUAAUAUUAAGCCAUAAACACAUGGCCACCUCCACCAAUACGUACUUGAUUGGAUUGGCAGCUGCGGAUUUGAUGUUUCUGAUUAUUGUUUCGUUGCGUCUGUGGGGUGUGAUGGUCUCGCAUAGCGACUUGAACACCUGGGAGAUAUUUACCGCUUAUUCGGAGAUUUUCUUGCGAAUGUUCAACCUGAUUUCCGUAUGGAUGAUAGUCAUGCUUGCCGUUGAACGCUUUAUAGCCAUUUGCAUUCCUUAUAAAGCGAUGGACAUGUGCACGGUCAACCGAUCACGGUGCAUCGUGGUUUUCAUCUACAUCGCUGCUUUCGUUUGCCAAUCACUGCAUUUCGCCAAGUACAAGAUCGUGGCUUCGCACACCGAAUUUAACGAGAGCGAAUACACGCUGCACCACACACAGCUCUCCGGAGACGUUCUCUUCACCAUCAUCUACGGAUGGGUUUUCGAAGGCCUGAUCGGCGUCAUCAUACCAUUCGUGUUAAUCCUGGUCUUGAACAGCCGUCUCAUAUACGAAAUACACAAAUCAACACAAUACCUUAAGCGACAGAUUGGUGCCAACACGCGAACCAGCUUCGACAUCAGUUCAGAACAAAUGAAAAUCACAACAAUGUUGAUCGCGAUGUGCGUCGUCUUCCUCAUCUGCCAGGCUCCGUAUGUUCUCUACAAUUACGUCAUUAGCAUCCAUGCCGGGAGCUUCAGGGGCCAGCACCAUUUAUUAAUUAUGGCAGUAUCAAUCCUGUUAGCGGCAAUGAAAUCAACCAUAAACUUUGUGCUUUACUGUUGGUUCAGCGAAAAGUUUUGGACCACUUUUAAAAGUCUGUUGUGCUUCAGGUGUGCAAAGUUGCGCAACCUGACCCAAAACCAAUCAAACGGUAACCCAAAGAACAUAAACCCCAGAAAUAAUUCCGUCUCCAAUUCUAAAGAAACUACCAUUUAAUUCUACGCGAUUCCCAUCUUCCAAUCUCCACGCUUACCAGUCUGUCUCUGUUUCAUAUACAUACAUACAUACAUACAUAUAUAUAUAUA